UACAGAGGGUGCGAGCGUUAAUCGGAAUUACUGGGCGUAAAGGGCGCGUAGGCGGCCUUCUAAGUCAGACGUGAAAUCCCCAGGCUUAACUUGGGAACUGCGUCUGAUACUGGGAGGCUUGAAUGCGGGAGAGGGAUGUGGAAUUCCAGGUGUAGCGGUGAAAUGCGUUGAUAUGUGUCGGAACACCAAUGGCGAAAGCAAUCUCCUGGACGCAAACUGACGCUGAGAUACGAAAGCCAAGGUAGCAAACAGG
rnacentral:rRNA from 1 species